UAACAAAAACAUGUUUUUUUGAUUAUAAUUUAAAGUUUGACCUGCCCAAUGAUUUUUAAAUGGCCGCGGUAUUUUGACCGUGCAAAGGUAGCAUAAUCAUUAGUUUUUUAAUUGAAAGCUGGAAUGAAAGGUUGAAUGAAAAAAUAACUGUCUCUAUUUAAGUUGAUUAGAAUUUUAUUUUUAAGUAAAAAAGCUUAAAUAUUUAUAAAAGACGAGAAGACCCUAUAGAGUUUUAUAAUUUUUUUUUUUAUUUUUUUUUGGUAUUUAAAGUUUUAAUUUUAAGAAUUAUUUAAUUGGGGUGAUUGAAAAAUUAAGUUAACUUUUUUUGUAUUUUAACAUUUAUUUAUGAGUAUUUGAUCCUUAUUUAAAGAUUAAAAGAAUAAAUUACCUUAGGGAUAACAGCGUAAUUUUUUUUUAAAGUUCUAAUCGAAAGAAAAAAUUGCGACCUCGAUGUUGGAUUAAAA
rnacentral:rRNA from 1 species